GACGAACGCUGGCGGCGUGCUUAACACAUGCAAGUCGAACGGAAAGGCCCUGCUUUUGUGGGGUGCUCGAGUGGCGAACGGGUGAGUAACACGUGAGUAACCUGCCCUUGACUUUGGGAUAACUUCAGGAAACUGGGGCUAAUACCGGAUAGGAGCUCCUGCUGCAUGGUUGGGGUUGGAAAGUUUCGGCUGUUGGGGAUGGACGCGCGGCUUAUCAGCUUGUUGGUGGGGUAGUGGCUUACCAAGGCUUUGACGGGUAGCCGGCCUGAGAGGGUGACCGGCCACAUGGGGACUGAGAUACGGCCCAGACUCCUACGGGAGGCAGCAGUGGGGAAUAUUGCACAAUGGGCGGAAGCCUGAUGCAGAAACGCAGCGUGCGGGAUGAAGGCCUUCGGGUUGUAAACCGCUUUAGCCUGUGACGAAGCGUGAGUGACGGUAAUGGGUAAAGAAGCACCGGCUAACUACGUG
rnacentral:rRNA from 1 species